AUUCCAAUCGAACUCGGAGAUAGCUGGUUCUCCCCGAAAUAGCUUUAGGGCUAGCGUUAUGUUAGAUUACCGGAGGUAAAGCACUGAAUGGGCUAGGGGCUGAUAAAGUUACUGAACCCUAUCAAACUCUGAAUGCCGGAUAAUUGAUGAUCAGCAGUCAGUCUACGUGAGAUAAGUCUCGUGGACAAAAGGGAAACAGCCCAGACCCACAGCUAAGGUCCCAAAGAUACGCUAAGUGGAAAACGAUGUGGAGUUGCGAAAACAACCAGGAUGUUGGCUUAGAAGCAGCCACUCAUUAAAAGAGUGCGUAAUAGCUCACUGGUCGAGUGACUCUGCGCGGAAAAUAUAACGGGGCUAAGCAUGAAACCGAAGCUUGGGCUUGUCGUAAGACAGGGGUAGGGGAGCGUCGAGUAUGGGGUGAAGUCAGAGCGGAAGCACUGGUGGACUGUACUCGAGUGAGAAUGCCGGAAUGAGUAGCGAGAAUUAUGUGGGAAUCAUAAUGGCCGAAAAUCUAAGGUUUCUUGGGGAAGGUUCGUCCGCCCAAGGUAAGUCGGGAGCUAAGCUCAGGCCGAGAGGCGUAGGCGAUGCACAUACGGUAGAAAUUCCGUAACCACCGAAACUUAAACAGAGGGACACUUCGAAAUAGCGGAACCCGGGCGUUGGUUGACCCGGGCGUAAGGGAGCGAAAUUAGAGUAGCGAAGUCCGCGAUGUUCGGAGGCGAGAAAAGCUCUGAGGUAUGCUAAGGUGCCCGUACCGCAAACCGACACAGGUAGAUGAGGAGAGAAUCCUAAGGCCAACGGGAGAAGGGUUGUUAAGGAACUCGGCAAAUUGACCCCGUAACUUCGGGAGAAGGGGUGCUCCAGAGAUGGAGCCGCAGAGAAUCGGCCCAAGCAACUGUUUACCAAAAACACAGGUCUAUGCUAAAUCGAAAGAUGACGUAUAUGGGCUGACGCCUGCCCGGUGCCGGAAGGUUAAGAGGAGAUGUCAGGAAACGAAGCAUUGAAUUUAAGCCCCAGUAAACGGCGGCCGUAACUAUAACGGUCCUAAGGUAGCGAAAUUCCUUGUCAGGUAAG
rnacentral:rRNA from 1 species